rnacentral:rRNA from 1 species
UUGGAGGGCAAGUCUGGUGCCAGCAGCCGCGGUAAUUCCAGCUCCAAUAGCGUAUAUUAAAGUUGUUGCAGUUAAAAAGCUCGUAGUUGAAUUUCGGGGUUCUACCGUUGGUCGGGCUUUGUCUGUACUGGUGUGUAGAAUUUCUACCUUCUGGGGAACCAUCAUGCUAUUAAUUUAGCGUGGUGGGAAACCAGGACCUUUACCUUGAAAAGAUUAGUGUGUUCAAAGCAGGCUUAUGUCUGAAUACAUUAGCGUGGAAUAAUAGAAUAGGACGGUGGUCCUGUUUUGUUGGUUUCUGAAUCACCGUAAUGAUUAAUAGGGAUAGUUGGGGGCAUUAGUAUUCAAUUGUCAGAGGUGAAAUUCUUGGAUUUAUUGAAGACUAACUUCUGCGAAAGCAUUUGCCAAGGAUGUUUUCAUUAAUCAAGAACGAAAGUUAGGGGAUCGAAGACGAUCAGAUACCGUCGUAGUCUUAACCAUAAACUAUGCCGACUAGGGAUCGGACGAUGUUAAUUUUUCUUGACUCGUUCGGCGCCUUACGGGAAAC